rnacentral:misc_RNA from 1 species
UUUCCGUAGGUGAACCUGCGGAAGGAUCAUUAAAGUUAUAGUCCCCCGGCCUCUCCGGGCUGGGGUCUUCUAUACCACCCUUUGUUUAUUACACCUUUGUUGCUUUGGCAGGCCUGCCCUCGGGCUGCUGGCUCCGGCCGGCUCGUGCCUGCCAGAGGACCUAAACUCUGUUUGUAUAUGAAGUCUGAGUACUAUAUAAUAGUUAAAACUUUCAACAACGGAUCUCUUGGUUCUG